UUAUUUUUGUAGUUUGUAGACCUUUAUUUCUUUGUGCUAUACGACUGACAAAUUGCACGUCAUACGUCAGUGGUUAUAAAGCUGAUUCGGAUUCUGCAACGCGCCAUGGUGAAGACUGGUGCCCUCCCAAAUCCCACAAUGGCAAGUUAACACAUCAACAGGACAGAAGCCAAAGAGGGCCAACCAUGACCUUUCGCUGCUGUUUUAACAAAUGUUAAUUGAGAUCUCUCUCAGAAUGUUGGGAGCUGUAAGUCAUAUCCUGCAGGAGCGGAGGUGGUGAAAGGCUAAUUACAGUGAGCGAAAUGUCACAGUCUGCUUUGACAGCCAUGACGUUGACGUCUCCUGAAUGCACAGCCAGUUCAAGCCCCAAGCAUUCACAAGGAGCCCGCAGAGGUGCAACAUUCACAGCGGGGAAGGGAUUGCUCGCACCCUAACCGGAGGAAGCUCCUCCAGCCAACAAGAGGCCCUCUCUUUAAAGAUGACCAACGCGUGACCCUGGCCCCAGAGGUUCUUUCAAAGACCCUGACCCUGAUCGGUUCUUUGCGGGAAUGGGACCCGCUCUCGGGGCUUCAUGACUGGCUGUUGUUCAACAUGGCGAGGAUGCGGCCUAAGAGGUUCGCUCACCUUCAGACGUCCGAGAUCUCGUGGCUCUGGAGACGGGCGGAUUGGAAGUUGGUGUCAGGAAAUCAGUGUGUCGUGGGAGUCAGAAGAUAUGUGCCUGGAGACCUGAGAUCUUUGGGCACAGACCUCGGAAAAAGCAAUGCGAUGGACUUUUAACAUCGUAAACCAGAGAGUUGUUUGUUAUGUCUCUCCUCUCACUGUGAAACAGAGACACCCUUUUCUCCCUUAUUAGGGAGAAUGAGUAGUUUUUGGGGUACUGCAAGUCUGUGUCUUUGCUGUUGCUUUGCUGCACGCUUGGUGCUCGGUUGUGGGGGCCAAUACUUUUUUUUUGCUGGUUGGGGGAGGAGGUAUCAUUGCUUUUCUGCUGCUUACGUGCAGGAGGGAGGGGGAGUUGGGGGGACUUUGGGGUUCUAACACUUAACUGUCAUUCAUUCUUCAGGGGCACUCCUCAGUUUUCAUGGAUGGUUGCGAAGAAAAAGCAUUUCAGGAUGUAUAUUGUAUACAUUUCUCUUGACAUUAAAUGUACCUUUGAAACCUUAAAUGCUCCAAAUGCCAUGCAUCUCGCAGUAUCUGACAACCAAGUCCAGUUCCUGGCCUUCAUGUGUGGCUUAGCUACGAAGCCUGGAGGAACCGUUUUUACUGGCAGGAGGAAACGUUUUUACUGGCAGGAGAAAGGGCAAAGGUGAGUUACUAGUGUCUCAAAGCCAGUCGCUUCAGGCAGAUAGGGCAGAUAGAGAGCGGGCUGUUGUCCCUGCAGCAGGCACCCCCUCUCCAUGUAGCUGAUAAUCCAAAGGAACAGCAGAGACCACUGCAGGAGUUAACAGUCAGCGUUGAACUCAACGUAAGACUGCCUUAGGAACCCCAGCUCCAGAUUUUUCCUCAGGGUUUACUCCCGAAGCCUUCCCCAUGAGUGGGUAUGGCCGCCAGAGUUUUUCUUCUCCUAGAUGAUCUGCCAAACAUGGCUGACGAGCAAUAUUUCCUGCAAGAUGUAUGUGUAUGUGCGCACACAGACAUCUCUUGCAACUAGCGCAGAAAGGAAUUUAAACUGUGGACAAAAGCUAGUCACCUUCUAUAUUUCACAAUCGCAAACAAACACAUUUCCUCUUCCGGUUUCUGAUGCAGGCACUGCUGACAAAGUGGGGUUUGCGAUGAUCUGUCUGCCGAUUUUAGAACUGGCUUAUUGAUACUGUUUCCAUUCAAGAAAUUAUUCAGUGCGCACAUGUUGUUGUCACUGGACAAAAAAAUUGCUCAGCAUAAGAUUUUUGCGCACACUGGUCAUUACAAAUUAGAGGGAUCAUUGCCGAUGAUCUCCAUACGCCCGGUGUCUGGUUUUCAGGUGUUGGUAACCCACCUUGGCCCUUUCUCCUGCCAGUAAAAAUGGUUCUGCCAGGCUCAGUAGCUAAGCCACGCAUGAAGGCCCGGAGUUGGCCUAGUUGUCAGAGGCUGUUUGAGACUCUCGUCAUCGGGAGCAUUUAAUAGGAAGUGGGAGCUUAUCCCCACUACCUCCCCGGAUAUGAUAAACUUAAGGAACCAUCAGUGCCAAACAAGUAGAUAAAUAAGUUAGGUUAGGGGGUUAAAUAGGUGGCUUGCUGGGCAGCGAUGGGACCUAUUCUGCACUGUAUGCCAGUAAAUAAAAUGGGAUAGUAUCUGCCCUUGAACCUGGUGCUGAAUACGUUCAUGCUAAAUAUGGGAUUUAUUUCUCACACGUACAUCGAAACUCGCAGUAAAAUGAAUAAAUUGCAUCAACAACUAGCGUAGUCCGAGGAUGUGGUGAAGGCAGCGUGCAAGUGCCGAAUGGCUAGAUGGGAUCUCAGCAACUCGCAAUGCACUCUACCGUUAUCCUUAGACCGUUAGACAUAGGAGCAGAAUUAGGCCAUUCAGCCCAUCAAAUCUGCUCUGCAUUCCCAUCAUACAUGAUUUAUUAUCCCUCUCAACUCCAUUCUUCUGCCUUCUCCCCAAAACCUUUGACACCCUGACUUAUCAAGACCUUAUCAACCUCUGCUUUAAAUAUAUCCAGAACCACCUGUGGCAAUGAACCCCACAAAUCCUUCACCACCCUCCGGCUAAAGAAAAUCCUUAUCUCUGUUCUAAAUGGGCGUUCCUCUAUUCUGAGACUGCGUCUGACCCUAGAUGACUCCACACCACAGCUAUGAUAAAAAUGGUGUCUACUCAACAAUCUGCAAUUUUGCUACAUUACAGCACUGUAUGCUAAUGAGCCCAAUGCUGACUCUGACACAGACAAUCCCGUCACAUUCACACCACUUUCUCUCAUUUCCCUCUGGCUUUGUCAAUUAUCUUCUCACAUUUUCUUAACUUCCCUAUUAUUCCUUUCCCAGUUAACCACACUAUGGCAGCAAACGAAACCUCCAAAUACAUACAGAAUGCUCAACAACAGCACAAUAAAGGAAUUGAUUAUAGACAUUGGGAGACGCACUCCAGUCCUCAUUGAAGGGUCAGUAGUGGAAAGAGUGAGCAACUUUCAGUUCUAAAAACGCAAACACGAGGAAAUCUGCAGACGCUGGAAUUUCAAGCAACACACAUAAAAGUUGCUGGUGAACACAACAGGCCAGGCAGCAUCUCUAGGAAGAGGUGCAGUCGACGUUUCAGGCCGAGACCCUUCGUCAGGACUAACUGAAGGAAGAAUAUCAUCUGGCCUGAGGUCUCAUACCACCGGGUUCAAGAACAGCAACUUCCCUUCAGCCAUCCAGCUCAUCAACAGAGUUUGGAAAACACUAUGGCCAUUCUGCAGUCUAACGACGAGAGAUCGUCUUAGCCACUUUUCUUGUGAUCGCCAUGGAAUGCUGCAAGCCCAAUUCAUUGGUUUAUUGGCAGAUGGAGGAGGAAAUACAUGGCCUUGGUCAAGCAAAGGACUAGGCCUCAGAACAUGGUGUCAGGAGUUUGCAGCCACCCAGGGGAGGUGUCAGAGUUGGUGUGCUUCGGAGCAGGGUCCAUACUGGAGUCGCUGGUGCCCUCCAGUGUUUGCUCAGCAGAAGGCAAGCUGUAUUAUGUUCAACUGUAGACUGCUGCGAUAUUCAUGGAUUCAAGGACUUGGGCCAAUUUUUUUUAAAGUGUGACUGUAAGUUUACUGCUAUAUGUGCUAUGUAUGCCUUAUGCUGUGUAUGACUGUUGGUACUGUGUUUUGCACCUUGGUCCUGGAGUAAUACUGUUUCAUUUGGCUGUAUUCAUGGGUAUUCACGUACAACUGAAUAAGAAUUAUAGUUGAAAUUGACCACCUUACACUAAAAUGAACCUUCAAUUUCUCCAAUUGUGAUCUUUCUUGUAAAAACUGUGUAUAAUCUAUGUCUUUCCUGUAAAUGUUUUCUUGGUUGGGGCAACUGUAACGAAAAUCAAUUUCCCUCAGGAUCAAUAAAGUAUGACUAUGACUAUGAAAUGUUGUGUAUCUGACAGUGUGUACCUGUGAUGUGGAGGCAUGUAAGCUUUUUAUUGCACCUCUAUACACAUGGACUUGUGAAACGUGACAAUAAAUUUGACUUUGAGCUUUGCCCAAUAAUUUGGCAGUCCACACAGUGGCCACUUUGUUAGGUACACCUGUACACCUGCUUGUUAAUACAAAUAUCUAAUCAGCCAAUCAUGUGCCAGCAGCUCAAUGCAUAAAAGCAUGCAGACCUGGUCAAGAGGCCCAAUUGUUGUUCAGACCAAACAUCAGAAUGGGGAAGAAAUGUGUUGACCAUGGAAUGA